rnacentral:rRNA from 1 species
AGUGGCGGACGGGUGAGUAACGCGUGGGUAACCUGCCCCAUACAGGGGGAUAACAGCCGGAAACGGCUGCCAAUACCGCAUGCACAUGCGGGGGCGCAUGCCCCUGGAUGGAAAGCUUUCGCGGUAUGGGAUGGGCCCGCGUCUGAUUAGGCAGUUGGCGGGGUAACGGCCCACCAAACCGACGAUCAGUAGCCGGCCUGAGAGGGCAACCGGCCACAUUGGGACUGAGACACGGCCCAAACUCCUACGGAAGGCAGCAG